GUAAGGUUGGCAGAGAGGCCGAAUGCACCUGACUGUAAAUCAGGCAUCCCACGCGCUGGUUCAAAUCCAGCACCUUACACCA
rnacentral:tRNA from 1 species